CGGGCACUCAAAGGAGACUGCCAGUGACAAACCGGAGGAAGGUGGGGAUGACGUCAAGUCAUCAUGGCCCUUACGAGUAGGGCUACACACGUGCUACAAUGGCAGGUACAGAGAGAAGCCACCUCGCGAGAGCGAGCUGACCUCACAAAGCCGGUCGUAGUCCGGAUCGCAGUCUGCAACUCGACUCCGUGAAGUCGGAAUCGCUAGUAAUC
rnacentral:rRNA from 1 species